rnacentral:rRNA from 1 species
UAGGGAAUCUUCCGCAAUGGACGCAAGUCUGACGGAGCAACGCCGAGUGAGUGAAGAAGGAUUUCGGUUCGUAAAACUCUGUUGUUAGAGAAGAACAGCGCAUAGAGUAACUGUUAUGCGUGUGACGGUAUCUAACCAGAAAGCCACGGCUAACUACGUGCCAGCAGCCGCGGUAAUACGUAGGUGGAAAGCGUUGUACGGAUUUAUUGGGCGUAAAGCGAGCGCAGGCGGUAAAUUAAGCCUGAUGUGAAAGCCCCCGGCUCAACCGGGGAGGGUCAUUGGAAACGGGUUGACUUGAGUGCAGAAGAGGAGAGUGUAAUUCCAUGUGUAGCGGUGACAUGCGUAGAUAUAUGGAGGACCACCAGUGGCGAAGGCGACUCUCUGGUCUGUAACUGACGCUGAGGUUCGAAAGCGUGGGUAGCAAACAGG